UACGGUGUGUGCAAGCGUUACUCGGAAUCACUGGGCAUAAAGAGCACGUAGGCUGGCUCGCAAGUCGGAUGUGAAAUCCCCCAGCUUAACUGGGGAACUGCAUCCGAUACUGCGGGUCUUGAGGACGAAAGGGGAGAGUGGAACUUCUGGUGGAGCGGUGAAAUGCGUAGAUAUCAGAAGGAACACCGGUGGCGAAGGCGACUCUCUGGUUCGUUUCUGACGCUGAAGUGCGAAAGCGUGGGUAGCAAACGGG
rnacentral:misc_RNA from 1 species